rnacentral:rRNA from 1 species
GAACGCUGGCGGUGCGCCUUAUGCAUGCAAGUCGAGCGAAGCUUUUCAGUAGUUUACUACAGAAAAUGACUGAGCGGCGAACGGGUGAGUAACGCGUGAGCAAUCUACCUUAGUUACAGGGAUAGCCCGAGGAAACUCGGAUUAAUACCUGAUAUUCUUUAAAUUUCGCAUGAAAUUAAAAGGAAAGGUCAGCCGAACUAAGAUGAGCUCGCGUUCUAUCAGCUAGUUGGUGAGGUAAAAGCUCACCAAGGCUACGACGGAUAGCUGGUCUGAGAGGACGAUCAGCCACACUGGGACUGAGACACGGCCCAGACUCCUACGGGAGGCUGCAGCAGGGAAUAUUGCGCAAUGAGCGAAAGCUUGACGCAGCGACACCGCGUGUGGGAUGACGGAUCUAGGUUUGUAAACCACUUUCAGGAGGGAAGAAAAUGACGGUACCUCCACAAGAAGCCCCGG